rnacentral:rRNA from 1 species
CCUACGGGAGGCAGCAGUGAGGAAUAUUGGUCAAUGGGCGCGAGCCUGAUCCAGCCAAGUAGCGUGAAGGAUGACUUCCCUACGGGUUGUAAACUUCUUUUAUAAAGGAAUAAAGUGAGGCACGUGUGCCUUUUUGUAUGUACUUUAUGAAUAAGGAUCGGCUAACUCCGUGCCAGCAGCCGCGGUAAUACGGAGGUUCCGAGCGUUAUCCGGAUUUAUUGGGUUUAAAGGGAGCGUAGAUGGGUUGUUAAGUCAGUUGUGAAAGUUUGCGGCUCAACCGUAAAAUUGCAUUUGAAACUGGCAGUCUUGAGUACAGUUGAGGUAAGCGGAAUUCGUGGUGUAGCGGUGAAAUGCUUAGAUAUCACGAAGAACUCCGAUUGCGAAGGCAGCUUACUAAACUGCAACUGACAUUGAUGCACGAAAGUGUGGGUAUCAAACAGGAUUAGAUACCCGUGUAGUC